AGCAGACAUGGUUUUUAUUACAUAUAAUAAUGAAUCAUACAAGAUAUUGGCAAGUCCAACCAUCAAGAAAUAUUCACAAAAACAUAGUACAUUAUAAUCCAAUGAAAUACUUCAGAUAUCAUAUAUACUCCAAAAUCAACCUUAAUUUCUAUACAUUACUACACUGGACAAGAUAUCAAUAAUAUACCUCUCUCUACGAGAGUCCAAGAUCAACUGAGGUGUCCACCUCGUGGUCAGUCCCCGACCAGGAAAAAUCUCGUGCUAACAGCACGGAAUGGUUCAGUGAUUACUAGUCACCAAAUAUUACAGGGGUUCUAAAACUAUACAUGUCAUAUAUGACAGUGUGGGAGAAAUAAUGUGUACAAACUUUAAACCAAACAUACAGAGUGAGUUAUUAAAACAACAACAAAAAAAAACAACAACGAAAAAACACAAGACAAUAAUCUUGGAUUAUUUUAGUUUCAUUAUCAUACUUAAUUGACAGAGUUUGGUGCUGACAUUUCAAAGUUUUAAUACUUCCGCAUUACACUCUUAAUGUUUCAAUCAAAGCUUUUUAAAGGUGCAUUGUUGUCGAUAGACCAUACUCAUUGGCCUAUAUUUACUUGUGAAUGAAUUGAAGUCUUCAAACUAAAAUAGUCCAUAUUCAAAGGGUAUUUGUGAAUAAAACUUCUCAACAUGACAAUAUAUCACAUUGAUUUUAAAUUCAAUUUUGAGUUCAAUAAAAAAAAAAUGAAAAAGUACAAAUAUCUGAUUAAAUAAAAAUUCAACUUAAAAUCAAUGAUUGACUUAAAAAUUAAUUUCUCAGAAGCAGAUUGUUUCAAUUUUAUCCAACUUUCAAUAAUAUAUCAACUAAAACAACAAGUGUUUCAACAAUUACAAU